UACGGAGGGUGCAAGCGUUAUCCGGAUUUACUGGGUUUAAAGGGUGCGCAGGCGGAUAUGUAAGUCAGUGGUGAAAUCUUUGGGCUUAACCCGAAAAUUGCCAUUGAUACUAUAUAUCUUGAGUACAUUUGAGGCGGGCGGAAUGUGUCAUGUAGAGGUGAAAUUCUUAGAUAUGACACAGAACACCAAUUGCGAAGGCAGCUCGCUAAACUGUAACUGACGCUGAGGCACGAAAGCGUGGGGAUCAAACAGG
rnacentral:rRNA from 1 species